UACAGAGGUCUCAAGCGUUGUUCGGAUUCAUUGGGCGUAAAGGGUGCGUAGGUGGCGCCGUAAGUCAGGUGUGAAAUUUCGGAGCUUAACUCCGAAACUGCAUUUGAUACUGCGGUGCUUUGAGGACUGGAGAGGAGACUGGAAUUUACGGUGUAGCAGUGAAAUGCGUAGAGAUCGUAAGGAAGACCAGUGGCGAAGGCGGGUCUCUGGACAGUUCCUGACGCUGAGGCACGAAGGUCAGGGGAGCAAACGGG
rnacentral:rRNA from 1 species